GAUGAACGCUAGCGGCAGGCCUAAUACAUGCAAGUCGUACGGCAACACAGUUGCGAGCAAUCGCAACCGGUGGCGAGUGGCGCACGGGUGAGUAACGCGUAUGUAACCUACCCUUCUCCGGGACAUAACUCCGCGAAAGCGGUGCUAAUAUCCCAUUACCAAACUCAUCAAGACAUCUUCUUGAGUUGAAAGCAGCAAUGCGGUGAAGGAUGGGCAUGCGUCCCAUUAGCUGGUUGGUGAGGUAAUGGCCCACCAAGGCUACGAUGGGUAGGGGUUCUGAGAGGAAAGCCCCCCACACUGGUACUGAGACACGGACCAGACUCCUACGGGAGGCAGCAGUAAGGAAUAUUGGGCAAUGGUCGAAAGACUGACCCAGCCAUGCCGCGUGCAGGAUGAAGGCCCUAUGGGUUGUAAACUGCUUUUAGCCGGGAAUAAACACCCGUUUUAUAACGGGCCCGAAGGUACCGGCUGAAUAAGCAUCGGCUAACUCCGUG
rnacentral:rRNA from 1 species